rnacentral:rRNA from 1 species
CUAUACAUGCAAGUCGAGCGAACAGAAAAGGAGCUUGCUCCUUUGACGUUAGCGGCGGACGGGUGAGUAACACGUGGGCAACCUACCCUAUAGUUUGGGAUAACUCCGGGAAACCGGGGCUAAUACCGAAUAAUCUCUUUUGCUUCAUGGUGAAAGACUGAAAGACGGUUUCGGCUGUCGCUAUAGGAUGGGCCCGCGGCGCAUUAGCUAGUUGGUGAGGUAACGGCUCACCAAGGCGACGAUGCGUAGCCGACCUGAGAGGGUGAUCGGCCACACUGGGACUGAGACACGGCCCAGACUCCUACGGGAGGCAGCAGUAGGGAAUCUUCCACAAUGGGCGAAAGCCUGAUGGAGCAACGCCGCGUGAGUGAAGAAGGUUUUCGGAUCGUAAAACUCUGUUGUAAGGGAAGAACAAGUACAGUAGUAACUGGCUGUACCUUGACGGUACCUUAUUAGAAAGCCACGGCUAACUACGUGCCAGCAGCCGCGGUAAUACGUAGGUGGCAAGCGUUGUCCGGAAUUAUUGGGCGUAAAGCGCGCGCAGGCGGUCCUUUAAGUCUGAUGUGAAAGCCCACGGCUCAACCGUGGAGGGUCAUUGGAAACUGGGGGACUUGAGUGCAGAAGAGGAAAGUGGAAUUCCAAGUGUAGCGGUGAAAUGCGUAGAGAUUUGGAGGAACACCAGUGGCGAAGGCGACUUUCUGGUCUGUAACUGACGCUGAGGCGCGAAAGCGUGGGGAGCAAACAGGAUUAGA